CAACCUCUGUCUCCUGGGUUCAAGUGAUUCUCGUGCCUCAACCUCCCAAGUAGCUGGGAUUACAGGAUUGCACCACCACACCCGCCUAAUUUUUGUAUUUUUAGUAGAGACAGGGUUUCAUCAUGUUGGCCAGGCUUGUCUCUAACUCCUGACCUCAUGUGAUCCACCUGCCUUGUCUGCCAAAGUACUGGGAUUACAGGCAUGAGCCACUGGGCCCAGCCUGCAAUUGUGUUUUCUAUGAACUAUUUUUCAGUGAAAUCCAUUUAUUUACCCUAAUGUUCCAGACCAACAGAAAAUACAUUUACUUCAACAUCACAUAUUCAGAGGCAGAACACUGCAUUUCCCCCAUCUCGUUAAAAGACUUUUACUAAAACAGUGGUUGAUAAAAAAGAAUCUUAAGGUUUUGAAAGUAGAGAUUAGUUUAAAAAGAAAAAAAUUCCAAUUUAUGAGAAAGAGAGAUAUUAAUGAUAAUGACAGAACUCUCUAUAUUUGAACUACAGAUUAAGUUGAAAGUGGCCGCAAUUUUGAUGAUCCAACCAUUUUACUUUGCGUUUUGACACGUGACCGUGUCUCUGCUCAGAACAAACUUACUUUGCCUGUCCUUGCUGAGAGAUUUAUUGCUUCAUUGAAGGCUUUUGAUUUAGCAACCAUCUUCCCUAACUAGUUUUCUUAUCUUGAAUCACUUGGAGUAAGACUCUUCAGGUAUGAUGAAUAGCUGUAUAAUGAGAUGGAGAAGAAGCCGCCCCAUCAUUUUAUAUUUCCACUGGGUGAGUUGUCACUCACCUCCAGCAAAACAUCUUUCUCCCUUAUGUAUUAUGAAAAUUCAUAGCAACUCUAGCGUAGUGACAUUUUGCUGUGGAGAAUUUGGCAUUCGUUGUGAAGGUAUUAUUUUAAUUUCUGUCAAAUUAAACUUUCAGGUCAGGGUUGCUAUUAGGGAUGAAAAGAGCAAAUCCAGAAUGAAAGUAAGAAGUAAGAAGAUAAGGCAACAAGACAAUUCAGAUGUCAAGAUUAAACAACAGGAAAAGAAGCCCAUGGAAACAGAGUGGCAACUGGAAGUAAAACCAUGGUCUUUCAUGGAUAGUUCUGUCCCAGUCUUCAUCUCAUCUAGUGAUCUGUACUUUAAAUUUAUUUGAUGACUUGGUGGGAGGAUUCGGGGAGGUUAGAGAAGCAUCUCAGUGGUUUUAAGUACAUUCACAGGGUUGUGCAACCAUCAUCACUAUCUAAGUCUACAACAUUUUCAUGACCUGAAAAAGAAGCCCCAUACUUGUUAGCAGUCACUUCUCGUUCUUCCACCGCCACUGCCAAUCCUAGGCAGCCAUUAAUCUACUUGCUGUCUCUACAUAUUUGUCUAUUCUGGACAUAUUAUAUAAAUGGAAUCAUACAAUAUGUCGCCUUUUGUGACUGUUUUAUUUUACUUAGCAUAAUAUUUUCUGCUCACUGUUGAGGAGGGCAACUGGCACAUAGUGGGUGCUCAAAAAAUAUUUACAGAAUGAAGAAUAAGAAAUGGAAAAGUUUCUACCUUCAUGCUUGGAGUUGGGAGGUGAGUGGAUCCAUUCCCUACUCUGGUCAUUCAUGUUGUAAUAUGUAUUAGUACUUCAUUCCUUUUUAUUUGCUGAAUCGUAUUCUAUUGUGUGGCUGUCCUAUAUUUUGUUUAUCCAUUUCGUCAGUUGAUGGACAUUUGGGUUGUUUUCCCUUUGGGGUGAUUAUGAGUAAUGUGGCUAAGAACAUUUUGUGUGGACAUAUGUUUUCAUUUCUCUUAGGUAUAUGAGAUAUGAUAGUGGAAUGGCUGGGUCAUAUGAUAACUCUGUGUUUAACUUUGAGGUACUGCCAAGUUAUUUUUCAAGGUGUUUGCACCAUUUUACAUUCCUACGCAUAAUGUAUGAGGUUCCAACUUCUUCACAUCCUGACCAAUGCUUGUUAUUGUUUGUGAUUUUAGCCAUUCUUAUGGGUGUGAAGUGGUAUCUCAUUGUGGUUUUCAUUUAUGCUUUUCUAAUUAAUAAUUAUAUUUAGCAUCUUUCCAUGUGUUUAUAGGUCAUUUGUACAUCUUUGGAGAAAUGUCUAUUCAAAUUAUUUACCCAUUUUUAAACUGGGAUAUUUGUCUUUUUAUGUACAGUUGUAAGAGUUUUUUAAAUAUAUUCUGGGUACAAGUCCCCUGUCAGAUAUAUGAUUUGCAAAGAGUUUCUCCCAUCUUAUGGUCUGUCUUUUCACUUUCUUGAUGGUGUCCUUUGAAACACACAAGUUGUUAAUUUUGGUGAAGUCUAACUUAUCUCUUUUUUUCCUUUGGUCUCUUAUGAAUUUGGUGUUUAUGUAAGACACUAUUACCUAAUCCCAAAUUAUAGAGAUUUUCCUCUAGUUUCCUUCUAGGAAUUUUAGAGUUUUAGCUCUUACAUUUAGAUGUGUGAUCCAUUUUCAGUUGUCUUGUGCAUGGUGUCAGGUAGGUAUCCAAAUUCAUUCUUUUUCAUGUGGAUAUCAAAUUGUUCCAACACUGUUUGUUGAAAACAGUGUUCUUUCUCCAUUGAAUUGUCUUAGUACCCUUACCAAAAUCAAUUGACCAUAAAUGUAGGGAAUUAUUUCUGGGUACUCAAUUCUAUUCCAUUGAUCUAUCUAUCUAGCCUUAUUCCAGUACCAUGCUGUUUUGAUUACUAUAGCUUUAUUCUAAUAAGUUUUGAAAUUUGGAAGUGUUGAUCCUCCAUUUUGUUCUUCUUUUUAAAUCUUGUUUUGGCUAUUAUUUAUUUUUUGCAUUUUCUUAUAAAUUUUAAGAUCAUCUUGUCAAUUUCUGUGAAAAAGGUAGCAGGAAUUUUGAUAGGUAUUACUAUCCUGUAAUACAGAUUUAAUUUAUAGAUUAAUUUGAGGAUUAUGCCACCUUAACAAUAUUAGGUGUUCUGAUCCAUGAACAUGGGAGGGCUUUCCAUUUACUUAGAUCUUCUUUAUUAUCUUUUUCAAUAGUAUUUUGUAGUUUUCAGUGUACAAGUCUUGAAUUUCUUUUGUUAAAAGUUUUUUAAAACUCCAAAUGUAAAUGAAGCUUAGUGAUGUCCAGGAACGAUGUCUUGGUCAACCCUGCAUCCCUCCUACCAAGCUUAGUGUCUGGGUUAGUGUCUUGAAUUGUGGCUGGCAAUAUUUGUACUUAUCGAGGUGAGUUCAAAAAAUAUCUUUCAUGUCCAUAGAAAGUUGACAGUAUCAUCUCCUUUUUAUUACAGCAUUCCAUUAAGAAAACAACAUAUAUUAAUGCCAUUUAAUAAGAAUGGUAAAUUAUGGAUAAUAUAUUAAAGCCAAGAUGGUUAACUGACAUCGCCAAAGAUAUGCAGUCAAUGUCAAAUAUAAAAUUAGAGCACAACUCAACAUUUCCCCCAGUGAUACAUUAAUUCUAAAAGCCUUUAAGUCAAGAAAGACAUGAGAAAGAUAAAGGGAAAAAAGGGGGGUGGAACUAAGUGAUUUUUAUUGGAUCAUAUACAAAUGUAUAUUGUCAUAUCAUCCACCUUUUUUAGGGCUAAAAAAGGCUUUCAGUUAGGAAAUGUACUUUUUUCUUGAACUUCUAAAUUAGCUAAGUGUUUGAAAAGGAGACUUAAGAAUUAUCUCCAUGCCACAUAUCAAUGGCAUUGACAUGAAUAUUCCAGAAUCUUGACUUAGUGAAAGUUAAGGUCAGACUCCCAAAGAUGAAGCUAAAGAUGUAGCAAAUUUUCUAAACUCCCUUUUCCACUUGUGCUUCAAAGGUAGGAAUCUCUUUAAUGAGUUAACAUUUCCUGGGAUGUGGUCUGUGCUGCAGGAUUUAGAUUGAGCAUCCAGUUAAACAUCUGGCAGGGUGCUUAAUAGAGAAACUCCUAAGGGGAUGAAACUGGUGUUAAAUUACCAUGAUUGAAAGGAGUGCAGGGUAUGGAUAACUAGCAUUUACUGAGAACACUUAUAAAUCAGAAUGGCAUUGUCAAAGUGAGGCAACCAAAUGGACCAAGAGGAGAGUGCUAUACUGGCUAGAUGUUAUUGAUUAUGCAACUCUCAUUCACAGGGGGAAAUGAGGCCUAUUGAGAAUUUCUUGAUGAUGAAAACAGGAGGUGCAAGAAGAGAGAUGCUUAUUAUCAAGGGUUUCAGACAUUGUGCCCACAGGAGCUGCUGUGGUUGACUGAAACCUUUUAGAUCUGAACUGGGUGAAUGAUGAUGGCUGCCUGGAUUCAACACCCAUAAAAUUUUCAAUUAUAAAUGGUUAAAAAAGAAAUAACUGAAUACUCCCAGAAGUGUUCCUUACGGGAGCCAGGUUAAAACCUGUGGGAAAUAUAGGUAGAGGGGCAGAGGACUUCUAAAAUGGGAGUGAAACAAAAGAUCUUUCAGAUGAGGUGUGAAUUGAACUAAUGUUAACUACAUAUUUAUUAUCCUAUCAGUUGUCUGAGAGUCAAACCAAUGACUUCAUCAUUAAGUGAUGAAGGCCUUAAAAUAAACUCUUGGCAUAUGUGGAUGUAACAUUUGUGGUUCCACUAUAUUUAAAGCAUUCUAGAGGUCCAUUAAAUUUGUAAUUUUGCUGAGACACAAGCUUGAAUUCUGAAUUUGAUGUGAGAAUGAGUAAGUUGAUUGGUUAGGAAGUCACCUAGCUAGUGAGUAAGAAGUAAUCUGAAACUAAUUUUUAUUUUGUUUUGAAUUUGCCAGCACCUCUAGUAAAAAUUAGCUCGGAGGUAAUAUGAAUAUUUACAAUAAAAUAGUUUAAUUACUUGAGCUUUAUUUUACCUUAUCCCUGUCUCCCAUUAACAUUGAUAAUUCAGUUUAUUUGGAGGAAAUAGAGUGAUUUCACAUGUCUUUUUAAAAGUUUCUGAGAGAUGGCAGAUAGUAGAAAGCAAGGUUUUUGUCAUGAAGCUGCAUUUCCAUAGUAAGUAUCCAAAUUUAAUUCAGAAGAAAAUUAGAUAAAAAUUGGAAGGGUUUAAUUUUUAAUCUUAGCUUCAAGUAGGCACAUAGCUUCUUGAAAGGAAUUAGAUCACUGUUGUUGUUAAGAAAAUUGAGAUGCAAUUUUGAAGAAUAAGUUACGUAGGCAUUUUCCUCAAACCAUUAGCAAAUAAUAUGUGAUCAAUUCCAAGGUGUGGCUUUUAAUUUUCAAGGUGAAAGCUAUUUUUCUGCGGUGGCUGUGUGGAUGCAACACAAUUUAGUGGAGGGCAUGCUGAGAAGUAUCUUCGAGAGGUCUUUGUAGGCUGUAAGAAUGACAACAUGAAUUUAAGUCCUUCUGAGGACUAAGACUAUUUAAAGUUUCAGGAGAACAGAGCCAGAGUUGUUCUUAUGGGAUUUAGCAAUAAAGGACUUAAUUUUGAGAAUCAAUUAACAAAAUUGUGAAUUUGGAACCAUAGCAGGAUCUGAUAGUAACCCUGAAGCUGGAAGGAACCUUGGAGCACAGCUUCCGUUCUUUGAUGGUUAUAAGCAGGGCAAGUAGUUUCAGUCAACAGUACAUCAACAUUUAAGUCUUUUCUUUUGAGGCAUUUGACUGUCUUUCAGUUUAGAAUCUGCAGAGACAAGCAGAUACCUCCUUUCCUUCUCCCCCAUCAGCCCCUAUCCCCCACAGGCAUUUUAAAAAAUGAAUUCCCAUUUUAUUUAUUUAUUUUAAUUUCUUCUUUUUUUUAGAUUCAGGGGGUACAUGUUCAGAUUUGCUACAAGGGUAUAUUGUAUGGUGUUCAGAUUUGGGCUUCUACUGGGUAUCAUGUUCACCCACAUAGUGAACAUGGUACCCAAUAUGUAGUUUGUCAGCCCUUGUCCCCCUUCCUCACUCCUUUUGGAGUCUCCAGUGUCUGUUGUUCCCAUCUUUAUGUCCAUGUGAACCCAAGAUUUAGCUCCCACUUAUAAAUGAAAACAUGUGAUAUUUGGUUUUCUGUUUCCCCACAGGCAUUUGAGGGAUGAACAAACGAAGAAAUGAUGAGGAAACUGAAGGCAAGAAGUUGCCAAGUUUAGACAAUUGGCUUCAAAAUUUAAAGGAGGUGUCAAAAUGGAGGGUAGAAAAAGGGUAAGAUAUGUUAACAAUAUUUAGUAUGAUUUAUGGGUGUGGUUAAAAAUUCCCCAUUAUAGUAACUAAUUAGAUAUCUUGAAUAUAAGAAUUCUUGGCUUCUCUUGAUUUAUCGAAUUAAUUCUUCAAAUUCACUAGGAUCUCAGUUUCUUUACCAGAAAAGGAAGAAACUAAAGUAUAGCUUUCAUUCAUAUUCCAAGAUCUUUGAAGAGUAAUAAAGUUAUUCUCUUCAAGUAUUACUUUCAGGGUCAUCACGACCUCCUUGGGAGAAGACUUCAUGUGGCUGUUGUAAGUUUUAAUUAUCAUCAGUUUCUAUGUUAAAUAUCUUGAAAAGUCUUUAGAUCUGGAAAGAUUUUUUUCGUUCAAGUUUAAAUAAGUCGAUUUCCAAAUUUGAAAUUUGAGAAGUUGGAAUGAGAAUGGGAAAAGUAGAAGCUCAUGGUAUAAUGAUAAGAAAAUAUCAACAGUAGUUGAAAAAUGUCUUGCCCUCUCCCUGUGGGUCAUUGUAAACCAUUUUUAAGCCUUUAUCCGAAAAAAGAAUGUUCAACAACAUGAUAAGCUCUCAGGAAGAUUGUGAAAACGCCAAAGCUAAAUCUCUAGAUUAAAGUAAAAUGACUACUGAUUUGAAUAACAUUAUGUUUACUCUGUUGAAUCUAUCAUCUUUAUCCUUCAAAAGUUGUAUAGUUUGAGCCAGAUUUUCUCAUUUCAGUUUAAAAGAUCCAAGCCAUUCUUAUGUCUAGAUUUAUCUAUGGUUACUAUGGAGAUGGCUCACUUGGUGUGAGGAUUUACAAUGUCAUCCCAAAAGAGAAAAUAAUUUGGGCUAUUGAGUGCUUUAAAGACCUUGCGAGGUGAGGGGGUUGGGGAAAGACCAAAAGUUGCUGACAUUUUAGUUGAGACUCAGUGAUUCAUGGAUAGUGGGUCAGGGAGUGGGGAUCGGUUAUGUUCUGCAUAUGAUGGUGCCCAUCUUGACAAUUGUGUCACCUUGUACACACCAGUGUUAGCUACUAUACAGCCAUUCUAUUCAUGUCUGUUUCUUUGAUUUCAGAGAGCCAUUGAGUUUAUAACUUGUGGCCAGUAGGCUUAGAAUUAUAAAACACAUAUCAGUCCACUGAAAGUAAAUAUAGGGAAAAUGAAAAGGAAUUUAAAAAAUGUAUUAAUGCCCAGAAAAUCUGAGUUUUGGAUCUCAUUAAGUGGUCCUGGACUGUUCUUUUCACCCUAAGGCAUAUGAGGUAUUAGACUGGGCUGGGUGAAUCAUCAGGGUUCCCAAGCAUUUCUCUGGAGUACAUCCAAGAGUUUGUAUGUUUACCUUCUCCCUUCUCCCCAAGUCCAUUUCAUAGGCUCCCAAACACCCCAGAACUAAAUUUAUUUUUAUUCCCCUAUUUAAAAUGAAAAAUUAGUGCAAAAUCUACAUUCUACUGCAUAAUAUAUUGGUAUGUUUUGAUAUAAACUAUUUCAAAUGAAUAAAUUACCUUAAACUUUCCAGUAAAAUAGAUGCACCUGAAUAACAUGUCCUGUUGCCUGUGGCUCUGAGUAUAGUGCAACAUACUGCCUUAUAUGCCUAGUGGUGCACAAAAUUCCAUCUGAGGAACAGCUGAAAAUUAUACUUUAGCAGAGCUGUGAAAGACCAUUGCCUCCGGUCCUCUGUGAUGUCUGAAAUGCCACCAUUUGAAAUGAUGUUCUUUAAUCUCUGUGUUGUCCUUGACAAUGAAGCUAUAAAAGGGAGCAUAAUAAAUUAUUCAUGCCUUAGCAGUGGCUAGUGAUAGCUCAAAGACAGCAUACAUUUAUAAUAAUGAUAGUUGUUGGUGUGGUUUAAAUGUUUUUCCCUCUAAAACUCAUGUUGAAAUUUAAUCUCCAAUUUGGCAGUAUUGAGAGAUGGGGCCUUUAAGAGGUGAUUGGGACAUAAGGGCUCUUGAUUAAUUCACUCAUGGAUUAAUGGGUUAAUGGAUUAAUGAAUUAAUGGGCUAUCAUGGGAAUGAGGUUGGGAAGCUUUAUAAGAAGAGGAAGAGAGACCUGAGCUAGCACACUCAGCCCCCUUAUAAGUGAAGCUCUGCACUGCCUCAGGACUCUGCAGAGAAUCCCCAUCAGCAAGAAGGCCCUCACCAGAUGUUGCCCCUCAAUGUUGCACUUCUCAGCCUCCAUCACUGUAAGUAGUAAGUUCCUUUUCCUUAUAAAGUACCCAGUUUCAGGUAUUUUGUUAUAAGCAACAGAAAAUGGACCAAGAAAGUUGCUUAAUAGUUGGUUAUAGGGAAAAUCAUAAAUGAAAAUUGAGUUAUAGUUGUAUAUUUUAGAGAUAAGGAAACUAAAAUAAUUACCUGUAAGUCAUAGAACAAGUUGGUGAACUCUUAGAGGAUCUGGAGAUCAUCUAAUUAUUUCUGACUUCCUAAUGCCUAUCAUAUUGGAAAUACUAAAUGCCUGUUUAAUGAACAACUCAGGAAAGCAGAAUUCACAUCUUAGGCCACUGUUGUUUCUGUUUGAGGGAACUAGAUGUCCUCAGUUCCUUUGAAGCAGAUUUACAUUAAAUCGAAGAGAAUUUCUGUUCAUAGUACCACUGCUGAACCUGGAACCAGGGUUUGAAGUCUCACCUUUACUGCAUUUAUCCAUUCUGUGUCCUGUUCCUGUGGCUUUUUCUGUUGUGAGGUCUUUCAUAUUUCUGAUUUUUUUUUUCUGCUUCUCUGGCUCAGGCCCUGGUGGUUUCCUUUCUGGAAAAGUAUACUAGCCUUCCAGCUGUUAAAUAAAAUUUAUGGAGGUAAUUGUUUUGGACUGAGCUUCUGCACUAGGCCUCAGCAGACCAGACCAAAUCAAAAUGGGGUCACCCAUGCUAAAUGCCAUGUAAUGAAACUUAGAUAUAGGUCAGUUUUCCGAAAAGCAGGAGAUUCAGCAACAACCAGUGUAAAGGGGCUUAGUUAACCUGAGCCAGCAAGACAGAGAAAUCAUGCUUUAACCCUAUAGGGAAAGUAACUUUGAAAAGACCAAUCCUCUUCUUGUUCCUUGUUUCUGCCUUUUCUUCAGGUUUUUCUGCCUAUAAAACCGAUGUCUUCUGCUCAGCCCAUUAGAGCACCUUUCUAUUUUGUAAAUGGGAUGCUGCCCAAUUCAUGAAUUGCUAAUAAAGGCCAAUUAGAUCUUUAAACUCAAUGUGCUUAAAUUUUGUUCUUUGACACAGCUGAUCUUUCUGUUUUCAAAUAUUUUCCCCUCCAAAUAUUCUGGCAGGCUGUCUAUAGGACAGUAUUACUAAUUCACUCAUCAAUUGUGCUAUCCUUGCACAAAAGCCUUUAUCAACCAUCUGUGACCCAUGAAAUCCAGUUAAACUUUCCCCCUUGGCAUUGAAAACCUUGAUCUCACCUGACCUACAUUUCUGGGCUUAUCUACAUAGCCACUGACAUAAAACCUACAUACUUGACAAUCUAGUUGUUUUACAUUUCCUCAUGCCUGAGGAAACGUUAUGAGAAAAUUUGUUAAAUUAUGAAAUUACCUUUGCCAUUUGAUAGUAAUCAGCUAAAGGAUAGAGGAUGUAUCUUAUACAUCCUCGAAUUUAUUCUCCAACAUAGCAAAUACCCCUGUGGAGAUGCCCACUAGAGAUGGCAAUUUUAGCUCUUCCAUGAAAUCCUGUGGCAAGAGGGAGGCAGCAUGCAGGGCUUAGAUGUAGAAGUCUGUCCCUGAUGGCAUGGGACAAGGAGAUGUGAAAGAAUGAGCAAGGGAUUAAAAGUGAUAGGCAAAAUUGAGAGAACUGGCGCUGAAGACACAUUUGAUCUGUUUAAACUUCCUGGAAGGAUCAGAUCGCUGUGAGCAAUCCUGAUGUUCGCUGGGUUGGGGAAACAGCAGGCUUGCAGACUGACAUGUUACUGGAAAGAAACGUUGAUCAGGGUUCAAACUAAUGUCAAGGAGAGGGCUUAGGUGGGUGGAAUCUAGUGAAAACCAGCACACAGGUCACUAGGUUGAGAGCAGGGAGGCAUGAACCAAGCUGAUAACCAGCUUUCCUGGCAUGGGAACAAAGGUGCUGCUAUAGUCUGAAUGCUCCCCCAAAUUCAUGAGUUUAAAGUUAAUUCUCAUUGUGGUUGUGUUAGAGGUGGGGCAUUUUGUCAUGAAGUCAUGAAGUUUCCACCCCACAGUGGAUUAGGGAAAUAAAAGCUGGAGGAAACUAGCUUGGGCCCCUUUUGUUCUUCUGCUCUUCUGCCAUGUGAGGAUAUAGGAUUCAUCUUCUUUUUUGUCCUUCCAUCUUUCCUAACAUGUUGCAGACAUCUAGACAGUGCCAUCUAUGAGGAACAGGCCCUCACUUGAAACUGAACCUACCAGCACCUUGAUCUUGGGCUUUCCAGCCUUCAGACUGUGAGACAAUAAAUUUUUAUUUUUUAUAAAUUAUCCCGGUUCCGGUAUUUUUUUAAUAGCAGCACAAAUGGACUAAGAGGGAUGCCUAACAAAGGGCAAGGAUAGCCUUGGCAGGAGGGAUUGCAUGCAAAAUUUUAUUAUGCAUUAAAUUAAUAUUUCCCAGUGUCUGAGGAAUUUUGGCCAUUGUUUUCACGUGUGUAUGCAUGUGUUUAGCUGGAGCCUAACAAAAGAAGGCUGUGGUUGAUGCCACCACUUCCUCACUUCCUGUAGCCACACACCAAAGUGCCUUGUGAGAGGGGCUGUUAACUCCAGAGCCACAACCUGGGUCUAGGAAAGCUCUGAUUUCAAACAUGCUGUUGAUUCUUCCCCAAAUAGCAUAAAUUUUUAUCAUAAUCUAUGUCUUUAUUUUUGCUGCCUAAAACAUGGCCCUUUUCUAUCACACCAUCAUUGUCAUGGAAUGUUCUUUAAAUACAAAUAGAACCUUUGCUUCCUAAGAACUUUCUUUUGCACUUUGCCAGAGUUCACUUUUGCACUUUUUGAUUUCUGAAUGAAAUCAAAAGUGCAACUUAGUGGAGGAGUGUGGGAUCCAGAAGCAUAAGAAUUCUGUUGUUCCCAGCUGUGGGGUUCUCAGCACAAUAGUAAGAACCCUUAAAAUGAUAAUAAUUCUAAUUUCUCUUGAAAAAUUUUCAUUUACAGUGGAAUAAAUGUCAGGAGAUGUUAAGUAUUUGCUACUUAGAAUAGACUCUUUCCCAGCUCCAAAAAUUCUUUUCAAAGCAAAUAUGUACAUUUGAUACCUGCAAGUUUUGAAUGUGCAAAUAUUGGCUCAGCAGAUGGAUGAACCAAGUCUAACAUAUUGUUUUUUUUUUUUUCUCAAGGGUUGGGACUAUUAUGACUCUGACUAAGGGUUACAUAUUUUUUCCUACCCUUACUGAUAACUGAUGAAUUUUUAGAAUGGAAUGGAUUCUCAUCCUUUUCUCUAGAAUGUAUAACACCUUUAUAAAAUGCUAAAGAGAUUUUUUUUUAAUCAUUCUUAUGGUUUAGGCUAAAUCCCUGUUUUUGCCCCUACAAUUUCUCUAGUGACCCUUGCUCGGGGUCACUAGACCCCGGGGAUUUGCUAGGAAUCUCCAAGUUGUUUGAUUCAUUUCAUUUUCAGUAUCUUUUAUUUUGAGACUGGUUAAAAAAAAAACUACCUUCAUAGAGGGCAAAGAACCUUGAAUGAUGGAAUUUCAAAAUGCUUUCAGAAUUAGUUCUGAAGAUAAACAAGUGAGGAGAAAAUGUACAUAGAAUUCUAAAUUCUAAAAGAGUUUUAUACAAGUAUACUUGCAUAAAAUCAUAAACUUGAAGGCAAUGUAAGAAGCUAGUUGUUCUAGAAUAUGAUUUACAAAGCAAGGGACUCACGGUUGAAUCAUUUACAUCAACAGGUGUUGUCAAGAAGUGCUACGAUUUAACAGCACCGAAAGUUUCUACCUUUAAAGUGAAGAGCAGGCACAUUAUUAAGUAACUUAACAUGGCACAACAUGAUUUUCAUAAAAGCUGAUAAAAUCAUCUUGGAAAAGUUAACUGCAUCAUGAGGCAAGUUUUAGGUACAUAAUUUUAAUCUAUAAUGUAUCUAUGGUUAUUGGCGCUAGGUAUGUAUACAGGCUAUCAGUUUCUGGAGACCCGCAGGAAAAUCCAACACUGAAAGAGCUUGCCCACCCAGGCCCCACUGGUUCUGAGCAAUGUUUCAAAACAUCGUGCAUUCCAACAUGUGGUCCCUAAUCCCUGCUGGGGGAAGCUGCAGUUGAGUAAGGGUUUUACCUGAGACUUUGAUUUUCUUGUACAUAUGGGUCUUAGGGACUCAAGCUGCAGGCUGUUGGUUACCUCCUGCUUUAUGCUUCUAAGCAUAUGUUAUCUUUAGGAUGUGGAUCCAAACAGGUAACCCAACAAUCUAUUUGAAUUAAUUGUAUGUUUAAUAAAAUCUUAAAAUCUUACAUGUGCAGACCAGGCACGGUGGCUCAUGCCUGUAAUCCCAGCACUUUGGGAGGCCAAAGUGGGUGGAUCAUUUGAGGUCAGGAGUUCGAGACCAGCCUGGCCAACAUGGUGAAACCAAGUCUGUACAAAAAAUAUAAAAAUUAGCCGGGCAUGAGUGGUGUGCACCUGUAAUCCCAGCUACUUGGGGGGCUGAGGUGGGAGGAUCGCUUGAGCCUGGGAAGUAGAGGUUGUAGUGAGCCGAGAUCUUGCCACUGCACUCCAGCCUGGGCAACAGACUGAGACCCUGUCUCAAAACAAAACAAAACAAAACAAAACAAAACAAAACAAAAAAAUCUUACAUCUGCAGACAUAGCAUUACACUGGGAAUUAGCACCUUCCCUCUGUGGUAAAUGGUGCAGGUGGGAUUAAUGCUGUUUUACAGAUGUGAGUGGGGUUAGUGUCAUUUUACAAAUGUGAAUGUGGAGACCCAAAGGGGCCAAAAGACUUGCCCAAGGUCAAACUUCAGUUAUUACAUUUCUCGAUUAUUUUGCUAUUUAGCUAUGAUUGUCAUGAAAAGUUUCACAGAGCUUGAAAUUCUGGGCAAUAUUCUUAAAGUCAAUUCCUGGAAUAUUAUUUUUGGAGUGAACAACUCGAUCUCUGGAAAAUUUGGAGGUUAAAGAGAGGAAUUACAGUUUUUUGAAGAGAUGUCUUCCCUAUGUAACGGCCCCAUGUUGCCCCCUUAUGGAACUUGCGAUAUUUGCAAAAUUCUUUGCUGAAUUAGUCUUUCACUGAAGUGUGACUUAUUUGACACACAGGAUUUACAGCAUGAGCCUUUUGUCACAACAGCCUUUUGUCACAACAGGAUUUACAGCAUCAGCCUUUCUCAGGAUGAUAACAUAUUACCUUACCAUUUUCAUAUAUUAAAUCAACUGUUACUGAAAUUCAGCCAAAUUGAAGGAAAAUGUGAUUAUGAGGAAGUCUACAGAAAACUUUUUUGUACUAAUUUCUAACUAUACUCACAGCCCCUUUUCCCAUACCCUCAGGGCUGACCAUUUUGCACAUUAAAAAGUAAUGUAUCUAACGAAAUAGGACGGUGUUCUUAAUAUUUUACUAAAAAUUGUGGAUCAUUUUAAGUUUCACGCUUGUGAGACGUUUGGGGAUUUGGUUUUUUUUGUUCAAUGGGUUUGAAUUUCACCUCUGCUACUUAGCUACAUCACCUCCGGUAGACUCAGUUUCUGGGUCUCAGCAUCUUCCUCUGUAAAAUGGGAAGAAUGGCGCCAUUUGUGAAGCAUUUGAAACAAUUCCUGGUAGAGUAUGCAUGCAAAAGUGAAAGCAGUAGCGGUGGUUGUAGCAGUAGUAACCCCUGGAUCUUACCUCCUCAAUUAUCACAUGAGGAGAUUGUACUAAAGGAGCUCUGAGAUCCUCUCAAGUUCUUACAUCUCUGAUCCUCUGGAUGCAAAAUAAGCAGAGGAAGAAGGAGGCACCAUGAGCAAUGAUUCCAUCUCUGCCCUCCUGAGAAAGUCUUUCCCUCCUUUCCACAGCACCUGGGAGGAGCAGGAAGUUACUAAUUUGCUGGCAGGGCCUGCUGGUUUCGGCCACAGUUUCUGAGUCUUUUGGGGAGUCAGAUGCAAUAGGGUAUAUGCCAGACAGCAGAACCUAUCCAGGGGUGUGGAAGCAUUCCGCCUUUGGGAACCCACCCACCCUGGAUGGGGCAACUAAUCGGAGAAAGUCUCAACAGAAAAAUGGAAGUGGGUAGUGUGCAGUGAAAGUGGAUGUAGGGAGGCUGGAAAGUGGGACCCGUCAAAGCCUAAGAGAUAGACUGGAAGGAGGCACGAAGAAGGGAUUGCUGGCAGGGAAAUUCCUCCCUUUGUCCCAGGGUCUCAACUUCACACUUGUCCAAGAUAAACACCACUGACAUUAAAGUGAUGAAAACAUUUUAUUCAGUAACUACUGACAGUCAGGGAAAGAGCUGCGCUCCAUUCCAGUUUGUGCAGAGGUGGCGGUGUCUUUUAUUUUAAUUUUUAUUAUUCCAAUAAGACUUUAUUGUUUAUGUCUGAAAAUUAGCUAUAAAAACUUGUAAUAUACAUUGUUUUAUCAGUUCUCUCUCUAGUUUUAGCUCUAUCGAGGUACAACUGAUACACAAAAAAAUUGUACCCAUCUAAUGUAUGUAUCUUGAUGAAUCCAGACAUAUAAAUACACCCAUGAUGUCAUCAUCACAUAAAACACAUCCAUCACCUCAGAGGGAGAGAGUGGGAGGGAGAGAGAACUGGGGUUCAAAUAAAAAGUUACCAAGGGUUGGUCAGUGUAAAUGUGACUAGGCCAGCUGUGUCUGCUAGCCAGCAAUGAUGGCCCCAAAUUAGGAUUCUAUCCUGACAAGUACAUUUCUAAGAAUGGUCUUCAGAUCUUUGAGAAAGACAAUCCUAAAUUGCAGGAGAUAUAUAUACAUCUCAAAGGGACAGAGGAAGGAUUCAUGAUUGUAAGGCCUUUACAGUAAAUGCUUUAAUAAGAGGAGGUAUAGGGGCCAAGGGAAAACUUCUCCUUUGUCCUCUGAAGGUUCACUGAAAGUCAGUUGACAAAAGGCAGAUUUAAUAAGAGAAAUAACAUCCAUAGACCAGGCGUAGUGGUUUACACCUGCAAUAUCAACACUUUGGGAGGCCAAGGCAGGAGGAUUGCUUGAGCCCAGAAGUUCAAGACCAGUCUGGGCAAUACAGUGAGAUCCCAUCUCUACAAAAAUUUAAAAAUUAUCUAGGCUUGGUUGUACAUACCUGUAGUCCCAGCUACUUGAGAGGCUGUGGUGGGAGGAUCAUUUGAUCUGGAGAGGUGGAGGCUGCAGUGAGCCGAGAUCAUAACACUGCACUCCAGUCUGGGUGGCAGAGUGAGCCCCUCUCUCAGAAAUACUACUACUACUACUAAUAGAAGUGGUAUAUAGAUUUAUUAAUGUCCCUGGGGGAGAAUCAGAGUGACUACCCCACCACGCAAUGGGGCAAAAAUGGUUAUAUACCCCUUCUUCCUUUACUUAGGGGAAAGAGAGAUGGGGAAGUGUGAUGAUUUUAGGGGGAUAGUAAAUGAUUUUCAGGGGAAUUCACUGGGCUUGAAGAACAUACAAUGGCCUGGAACAAAGUCUGUUGGGCCUGCAGAGCAGACAAUGGUUUGUGAGAAAAGUCUGUCCAGGUGUGUUGACAUACUUCAGUCUUCUUUCCUGCAAUAUGAGUUAAGUUAAUAAAAACUCAGGGAAAUAACCAGAGGCAAGAGGAAAUUGUUUUCUUCUUUGGUGGGUCUGGCAUUUAGGCAGAUAUGGGAACUUCAGAGAACAACUUCAUUCUGUGCUUUGGGAGAGCCAGAGGAUUGAGAGACAGUAGUGAGGGGAGGUCAGAGAGACAUUGAGGCUGCUUCCUUGGUUCAGCAUGUCAAAGCAUCAUAUUUUGGGGUAUUGGUUUUUGAGCCCCAAUAGAGGUCUGGGACGAACAGAAAAUUCUCCUGGCAGCUCUAGGCUUUCUCAGGCAGACAUGUUAAUACAGGGCUGGGGCCAUCCUACGGACAUCGCCUUCUGCUGCUAGAAGCCAGGCUAGAGUUUGGUGCAUUUCUCUUUAGUACAGAGGUUUGGAUGGAGUUGUUACAUGCUGAAAGUUCUGCGGUUCUUACCAUGAGGUCUUCUCUGACCAAUCUAACCCUUCACAGGGCCAACUUUCAUGUAAAAAGUGAGUAGUUCAUUCACUCAUUCCACAAAUAUUAGUUGGGAGUCUUCUAUGUGCUGGGCACAGUUUGAGAGUCAGGGAGUCUUAGAAUUGUUUGCACUGUUCACUAGUUGUUUUAUUUGUACUAGUCCCACCUUAACUAAAUAGAUCGUUAAAUUCCUUGAGGUCAGAGAUACUAUCUUAUUCUUCUGUUUUCCACACUGUAUGGAAUUUAGCAGAGCCUAUUAGUCACUUGAAUUUAUUAAAUAUAAUUGAGCAAUACAACAAAUAAAGAAAAACACUUUGAAACAGAAGUUAAGUAACUUGAGAGUUGAGAAGAAAAAGAAAAUGAAAAUAUUGAAGUAAUGAAAGAGAUUAUUUAACUGCACCCCCCAACUUUUAUAUCUUUUUUAUGGUCUCCAGAAAAUUUGGUUUGAAAAAAAAAUCACUUAUUAAAAAUAAAAGUCUGAAGACCACUGAUGAAUUUUAUAGGUCCAGAGAGGUGAAGUCAAACAACGAGCUUCCCCUACAGCUGAUUACACAGUAUGAUUAAGCCAAAGGGGACAUGUUGCUCCAGGGAGAGUCUAAUCAGAACACACGUUUCCUAUCUUAGACCCCAAAUCCUUUGAACUCAGAGGAGCAAAUCAAAAGAGGUCUCCAAAACUGUGAGCUUAGAAAAGAGUUACAGUUAGAAGAUGAGGUUUCGAGGAGAAAUCAUUGAAGGUGAUUCAACUCAAACUUCAGAACUGCUCUCUGUCCUUCAGAAACUGGGAAUUUGAUGCCUAAAGAAGUUGUAUCCUCACUGGCCUUUUUGACAGGAAGAUGAACCUAAAGUUUACCCUAAAAGCUAUGCUAACUUCUGUAUUUUUGAACUAUUCUGAAAAAUAUUUGCUAUUUGCUUUCUUAAGUGUAAGGAAGGAAUGAAUCUCUGAGCUACAUCAUGUAGGUGAUAUUAAAACUACACUUUUUUGUGUGUCUGAUUUAACAUUGUUAAAAAUAGUCAAAAUUUCUACUAGUUUAUCAUGUAUCCAAAGGUUAAGAAUAGAUACAAAGAAUUUCAUUCUUUCUAGAUGCUGGGAAUAUUCUCAGAUCUUGCCAGCUCUGCAGCAAAUGGAGGAGGUGGUUCUUGGAUGUCAGACUUUCCUGGAGGGAGGCCAGGCUGCGGUAGCCCAGUUGUAAUGCUUUCCUCUGAGGUGUUGGCAUCAGGGCUUGCUUCCACUGCUGUUCUCCCAACAGUGAUUUCUAAAGGGAGGCCAAGGUUGGGUAAGGGUCAGGGCUGGCACAGAACUGAUGUCAGGAGCUGUAAGACCUAAGGCUGCUUUUACAAAGAUGCAUGCAUUUUAUCUAACAGCCUUUUCCCCUAAAAUAUCCACAACAUAUAUUCUAUUUCUGUAGUUCUCAGCAGGGUAAUUUUUGUCUCCCAGGAGGAAUUUAGCAGUAUCUGGAGACAUUUGUGAUUGUCAUAAUUGGGGGAGGUUUGCUACUGGCAUCUAGUGGGUAAGAGACAGAUAUGCUGCUAAACAUGCUACAAUGCACAGGGCAGCAGCCACAACAAAGAAUAAUCCAAUCCAAAAUGUCAGUUGUGUCAGGGUUGAGAAACCUCAUUAUAUAUUUCAAGACAAGAAAACCAGUUCCUUGCUUAGUGUGCUGGCUAACGCCUUACUGAUGCAUGUGGUCUCCAGACACCAGCAUCACUUGGGAGUUCCUGAGAAAUAACAGACUCUCAGUCCCCACUUGGGAUACUGGAUCAGAAUCUGCAUUUUAACAAGAUCCCCAGGUGACUUAUAUGUGUCUUUAAUAUUGAGAAGCACUGGUAACCUUCUAUGAGAACUACAAGGGCAAGGCAGUGAGACAAGUGCUUCAGCAUGGCCAAGUCAAGAAGAGACAGUUCUGGCCCUACUUAGGCAACAUCUUUAAAUUAAAAAAAAACCUCACUUUUUCUCGGUUUUGUUUUGUGUUUUUAAAUUUGCAUUGAAGUUUCUUCUAUUUUUUUUUUUUUUUUUUUGCUACUUUGUCCUUCUUUCCUUCCUUUCUUUUUUUCUCUCUUCCUUCCUUUCUCUUCUAGUUACUCUGCUUCAUCAUUUAUCUUUAUCUCACAUGUAUGCAGUGCUUUUCUAGGUCCUUAAUUUUGAGUUACUCGUGAUACCAAAAAAAAAAAAAAAAAAGGGCAGACACUUCUCAUUAAUUAAAGGAAAUUGUCCUAGUGGGUAGAAUCUGGGAGGACAGUCAUACUUUCUUAAACAUAAUAACGCAAUUAAAUUCUACCUUCCCUUCAGUAGUAAGAUAUUAAAAAGGAAGGCAAUAAAGCUCAUCCAAUACUAAUUUGAUCAGAAGCCUGUGCAAUCAGUCUCUUUGAUAUACCUUUUGUCAACACAGCUUUAGAUUUUGAAUAGGCAAUCUAAAACCCUGGAAAUCUACCAUAUUGAUUUAUUAGCAAAAUUUCUGCUGAACCUAGGUAUAAUAAUAGAACUGAUUAAAAAUAAAAUUUAGUCUGUAUGCCAUGCAAUGUACUGUAGCAUUUUAGUUUCAUGUUUCUCUAAAAAAAAUAAGUUAAAAUUUUAAAUUAUUAAAACAAACUUCAGUUCAACUUGCUAAACAUUUACUUAGCACCUAUUGUUUACAAAAUGCUGGAAUAAAAAUUGUGGAAGAUUAAAAAAGAUUAAGAUAUAAUUUUGCCCUGGUUCAUAAUCUGGGGUGUGUGUGUGUGUGUG